CCUUGAGUUGUGUUUUGUUUUAAG
rnacentral:piRNA from 1 species